AGUGAACGCUGGCGGCGUGCUUAACACAUGCAAGUCGAACGAGAACGGAUUAUAGCUUGCUAUAAUUGUCAGCUAAGUGGCGCACGGGUGAGUAAUGUAUAGGUAAUAUGCCUCUUACUAAGGGAUAACAAAUGGAAACGUUUGCUAAUACCUUAUACUUCUUAUUAACAUAAGUUAAUAAGGGAAAGAUUUAUUGGUAAGAGAUUAGCCUGUAUUGUAUCAGUUAGUUGGUGGGGUAAUGGCUUACCAAGACUAUGACACAUAACUGGUUUGAGAGGGUAGUCAGUCACACUGGAACUGUGACACGGUGCAGACUCCUACGGGAGGCAGCAGUGCGGAAUAUUGCACAAUAGACGGAGAUCUGAUGCAGCAACGCCGCGUGGAGGAUGACACAUUUCGGUGCAUAAACUCCUUUUAUAUAAGAAGAUAAUGACGGUAUUAUAUGAAUAAGCACCGGCUAACUCCGUGCCAGCCGCCGCCGUAA
rnacentral:rRNA from 1 species